GAUGAACGCUGGCGGCAUGCCUAAUACAUGCAAGUCGAGCGAACAGACGAGGAGCUUGCUCCUCUGACGUUAGCGGCGCACGGGUGAGUAACAUGUGGAUAACCUACCUAUAAGACUGGGAUAACUUCGGGAAACCGGAGCUAAUACCGGAUAAUAGAAUGAACCGCAUGGUUCAAUAGUGAAAGACGGGUUAGCUGUCACGUAUAGAUGGAUCCGCGCCGCAUUAGCUAAUUGGUACGGAAACGGCUUACCAGGGCGAGGGUGCAUAGCCGACCUGAGAGCGUGUUCGGAGCCACUGGGACAGAAACACGGGCCACACUGCUACGGGAGGCAGCAGUAGGGUACCUCGCGCGAUGGGCGUAGGCAUGUCGGAGCAACGCGGCGUGGAUGAUGAGGGUCUUGGCGUGUUAAAGUACUGUUAUUAGGGAACAACAAAUUUGUAACUAGCUGUACACGCAUUGACGGUAUCUGGUGAAUAAGCCUCGGCUAACUACGUG
rnacentral:rRNA from 1 species